rnacentral:tRNA from 1 species
GCAUUCAUAGCUCAGUUGGGAGAGCAUACGACCGAUAAUCGUGAGGUCGAUGGUUCAAAUCUGGAUGCACCA